rnacentral:rRNA from 1 species
CACGUAGGGCGCGAGCGUUGUCCGGAAUUAUUGGGCGUAAAGAGCUCGUAGGCGGCCUGUUGCGUCCGCUGUGAAAUCCCGGGGCUUAACCCCGGGCGUGCAGUGGAUACGGGCUGGCUGGAGGCAGGCAGGGGGAGAACGGAAUUCCCGGUGUAGCGGUGAAAUGCGCAGAUAUCGGGAGGAACACCGGUGGCGAAGGCGGUUCUCUGGGCCUGUACUGACGCUGAGGAGCGAAAGCGUGGGGAGCGAACAGG